UACAGAGGGCCCGAGCGUUGUUCGGAUUCAUUGGGCGUAAAGGGUGCGUAGGCGGUGGGGUAAGUUGGAUGUGAAAUCUUGGGGCUUAACCUCAAAAUUGCAUUCAAUACUGCUCCGCUCGAGUUCUGUAGAGGAGAUUGGAAUUUACGGUGUAGCAGUGAAAUGCGUAGAUAUCGUAAGGAACGCCAGUGGCGAAAGCGAAUCUCUGGGCAGCAACUGACGCUGAGGCACGAAGGCCAGGGGAGCAAACGGG
rnacentral:rRNA from 1 species